CCGACCUUAGCUCAGUUGGUAGAGCGGAGGACUGUAGUGUUUGCAGGUGAAUCCUUAGGUCGCUGGUUCGAAUCCGGCAGGUCGGA
rnacentral:tRNA from 1 species